rnacentral:rRNA from 1 species
GACGAACGCUGGCGGCGUGCUUAACACAUGCAAGUCGAACGGAAAGGCCUGCUUUCCCUUGUGGAUUGCGGGUACUCGAGUGGCGAACGGGUGAGUAACACGUGAGUGAUCUGCCCCCAACUUGGGUAUAAGCCUGGGAAACUGGGUCUAAUUCCCGAUAGGACUGCAGGGUGGUGCCUGUGGUGGAAAACGAUUUUCUAGUGGUUGGGGAUGAGCUCGCGGCCUAUCAGCUUGUUGGUGGGGUAAUGGCCUACCAAGGCGGCGACGGGUAGCCGGCCUGGGAGGGUGGACGGCCACAUUGGGACUGAGAUACGGCCCAGACUCCUACGGGAGGCAGCAGUGGGGAAUAUUGCACAAUGGGCGGAAGCCUGAUGCAGCGACGCCGCGUGGGGGAUGACGGCCUUCGGGGUGUAAACUCCUUUCGACCGCGAGGAAGCCACCUGGUUGGAAGGGUGGUGACGGUAGUGGUAGAAGAAGCACCGGCUAACUACGU